UACAGAGGGUGCGAGCGUUAAUCGGAAUUACUGGGCGUAAAGCGUGCGUAGGUGGUUUGAUAAGUCGGAUGUGAAAGCUCAGGGCUCAACCCUGAGACGCCAAUCGAUACGGAUCGGCUAGAGGUAGGUAGGGGAAAGUGGAAUUCCUGGUGUAGCGGUGAAAUGCGCAGAUAUCAGGAGGAACACCGGUGGCGAAGGCGGCUUUCUGGGCCUUACCUGACGCUGAGGAGCGAAAGCUGGGGGAGCAAACAGG
rnacentral:rRNA from 1 species